rnacentral:tRNA from 1 species
ACCGGUGUGCUCCCGGGAGAGCAGACUGCCUCCAAAACAGUCGCACAGGGUUCAACUCCUUGCGCCGGUG